rnacentral:rRNA from 1 species
AGUGAACGCUGGCGGUAGGCCUAACACAUGCAAGUCGAACGGCAGCACAGUAAGAGCUUGCUCUUAUGGGUGGCGAGUGGCGGACGGGUGAGGAAUACAUCGGAAUCUACCUUUUCGUGGGGGAUAACGUAGGGAAACUUACGCUAAUACCGCAUAAGACCUUCGGGUGAAAGCCGGGGACCUUCGGGCCUGGCGCGGAUAGAUGAGCCGAUGUCGGAUUAGCUUGUUGGCGGGGUAAAAGCCCACCAAGGCGACGAUCCGUAGCUGGUCUGAGAGGAUGAUCAGCCACACUGGAACUGAGACACGGUCCAGACUCCUACGGGAGGCAGCAGUGGGGAAUAUUGGACAAUGGGCGCAAGCCUGAUCCAGCCAUACCGCGUGGGUGAAGAAGGCCUUCGGGUUGUAAAGCCCUUUUGUUGGGAAAGAAAUCCUGCCGAUUAAUACUCAGUAGGGAUGACGGUACCCA